UUAUGUAUUUCUUUAUGUAUUUCUUUCUUUCUUUCUUUCUUUAUUCAUUUCUUUUAUUUAUUUACUUAUGUAUUUUUUUGCAAUUAGGAGCCCAAUUAUGAUUUUCAACUUGAAUCAGUUUCCCUAUAUCUAAGUAAUGGCUACGUCAUUGUUUCCGUUUAGCUUCCUUUUCAACACUAACGUUAUUCUAGAAGCUAGCCUUUCGAAUUUUCCGUCCACCCCUAAUAGGUCCGAGCCGAAUUGGUGGAGAGCCCUAAACUCACGCCCACAAAAAAAGAUAAAAUACGCUUCCUUUUAAAAUAUAAUUUCUUGUCGUUACUACACUUUGUGUUUCGUUUUUUGCUUGAUAGAAUAGUUGUUGUUUUUCUAGGAAUAUCUCUAAUUGGUUUGUUCUUUCAAACAGCUAUAAAACCGUGGCCUGUUGUGGCAACAUAUCUGAUCAAAAGACAUGAUUCUGAUUCUCGAGCAAUGCUCCGAUUGGCAAUGUCACCAUCUCAUUUCUAAAGCUCAGGUUUCACAUCAAGAAUCUCCUUCUGCUUGCUACGACAGUGUAUCCCUCUCUUCCCGGUUUUGCUGUGACAGAUCGCCUACUUUUAAAUGAUCGACGCUGUGUCGAUGGGGACGUAAAAUAUCUACAUCUACAGCUAAUGUAUCUCAUAGGUUGUCACAGAAUUGCAUGGCUCGCCAGUUUCCACUAGAUACUAUCCUACAGCACAAAACGUUUACGUUGAUUGUGCAGGAAUGACUAACAACGCAAACUUCCCAUUUACCUGGAAAUCUUGCUGUGUCUGUGAAUAUUCUAUUUUUGGAUAAAUCUUAGUGCGCCUAUUUCUGGCUGUUACAAUUGAGGAAUCCUGGCAAAGAAGAGCUGAAUUAAAACAUUGAAUUUUGUGCCUGGUUGGACAAGGGGAGUUUUUCAAUUUUUAGCUGUUUCCAGUGCAACAGCCAAAACGCCUUUCAAGUUGAAAAAAGACGGACAGUGUAUUAUAAUUUCUCUUAAGCUGGAAUACCACCGAGCCUUGAAGCAGCCGUUAUUUCCUUUUCUUUGCAAUAGGCAAAGUUGUCCACUUGUGAAGAAAUUCACGGAUUAAUCGUCCACUUCGUCAGGAAUCUGUCACUGACUUUUGUCCUCGUACAAACGAGUGUGUGCUCAUUGAAGUUGUAGGUGGAGAUAGCCCCGCCUUCUUGUGUGUCACUGACUCCGCCCCUUAAUUUGUCAAAAAGGUUGAUGCGCCAAAGGUCAAUCUAUCAAUUAUUUUUUAUCAGCAUUACGAGUUUGACGUCAAACAAAAAA